UACGUAGGGUGCAAGCGUUGUCCGGAAUUAUUGGGCGUAAAGCGCGUGUAGGCGGCCUGUCAAGUCUGCCGUGUGAAAGCGCCUGGCUUAACCGGGCGAGGUCGGUGGAAACUGGCGGGCUGGAGGCCGGUAGAGGGGUGCGGGAAUUCCGGGUGUAGCGGUGAAAUGUGAUAGAGAUCCGGAGGAACACCAGUCGGUGGCAAACGGCGCCCUGGGUCCGAACUGACGCUGGAGGCACGAAAGCGUGGGGAGCGAACGGG
rnacentral:rRNA from 1 species